rfam:Asian citrus Psyllid, Diaphorina citri - Florida Strain, whole genome shotgun sequence.
CACUGCGUCGAUAGCACGUUGAAUACAAGAGUUCCCAAUGUUUCACUUAAGGUAAGCAAAGUUACUCGUGGUUCGUAUUCGGAUGGGUGACCGUCUGAGAAAUCGCGUGCUGCUGGCU